GCGCGAAACCUUUACAAUGCACGAAAGUGUGAUAGGGGGAUACUCAGUGCUUACGUCUAUGAUGUAGGCUUUUGUCGAGUGUAGAUAGCUCGGCGAAUAAGUGGUGGGCAAGACUGGUGCCAGCCGCCGCGGUAACACCAGCGCCACGAGUGGUCAUCACGUUUAUUGGGCCUAAAGCGUUCGUAGCCGGUCUGGUACAUCCCUUGUGAAAUUGUGCGGCUUAACCGCACAGCGUGCAGGGGAGACGGCCAGGCUCGAGACCGGGAGGGGUCAGAAGUAUUCCGUGGGGACCGGUAAAAUGGGAUAAUCCACGGAGGACUACCGAUGGCGAAGGCAUCUGACCAGAACGGAUCUGACGGUGAGGAACGAAAGCCAGGGGAGCGAACCGG
rnacentral:rRNA from 1 species